CAGUCGCCGCGGUAAUACGUAGGGUGCAAGCGUUAAUCGGAAUUACUUGGCGUAAAGCGUGCGCAGGCGGUUUGUUAAGACAGAUGUGAAAUCCCCGGGCUCAACCUGGGAACUGCAUUUGUGACUGGCAAGCUAGAGUCUGGCAGAGGGGGGUGGAAUUCCGCGUGUAGCAGUGAAAUGCGUAGAUAUGCGGAGGAACACCGAUGGCGAAGGCAGCCCCCUGGGCCAACACUGACGCUCAUGCACGAAAGCGUGGGGAGCAAACAGGAUUAGAUACCCCGGUAGUCCCUGUCUCUUAUAC
rnacentral:rRNA from 1 species